rnacentral:rRNA from 1 species
AUGCACGCUGGCGGCGUGCCUAAUACAUGCCAGUCGAGCGAACAGACGAGGAGCUUGCUCCUCUGACGUUAGCGGCGGACGGGUGAGUAACACGUGGAUAACCUACCUAUAAGACUGGGAUAACUUCGGGAAACCGGAGCUAAUACCGGAUAAUAUAUUGAACCGCAUGGUUCAAUAGUGAAAGACGGUUUUGCUGUCACUUAUAGAUGGAUCCGCGCCGCAUUAGCUAGUUGGUAAGGUAACGGCUUACCAAGGCAACGAUGCGUAGCCGACCUGAGAGGGUGAUCGGCCACACUGGAACUGAGACACGGUCCAGACUCCUACGGGAGGCAGCAGUAGGGAAUCUUCCGCAAUGGGCGAAAGCUUGACGGAGCAACGCCGCGUGAGUGAUGAAGGUCUUCGGAUCGUAAAACUCUGUUAUUAGGGAAGAACAAAUGUGUAAGUAACUAUGCACGUCUUGACGGGACCUAAUCAGAAAGCCACGGCUAACUACG